rnacentral:rRNA from 1 species
ACGGGAGGCAGCAGUGAGGAAUAUUGGACAAUGGAGGCAACUCUGAUCCAGCCAUGCCGCGUGAAGGACUAAGGCCCUAUGGGUCGUAAACUUCUUUUGACGCAGGGCAAUAAGGCGCACGUGUGCGCCGAUGAGAGUAUGCGUCGAAUAAGCAUCGGCUAACUCCGUGCCAGCAGCCGCGGUAAUACGGAGGAUGCGAGCGUUAUCCGGAUUUAUUGGGUUUAAAGGGUGUGUAGGCGGACUGUUAAGUCAGUGGUGAAAGGUCCCGGCUCAACCGGGGAGCUGCCAUUGAUACUGGCUGUCUGGAAUGCGGAUGCCGUGGGAGGAAUGUGUAGUGUAGCGGUGAAAUGCAUAGAUAUUACUCAGAACACCGAUUGCGAAGGCAUCUCACGAAUCCGUCAUUGACGCUGAGGCACGAAAGCGUGGGGAUCAAACAGGAUUAGAUACCCUGGUA